ACACAAAACAGUCUGACUUAGUAUUUUAUGACUUUAGCCAAACUAAGAACACACACAGAAUUUACGGGUAAAAUCCAACCUUUAUUAAUUCUCGCAGAAUAUACAAAGGACACUCUUUUUAGACUUGGCUCACAUAUGUAAUGCUACUUGCCUUCUCCACAUGCGGAGAUACAAUCUAUAUAAAGGGGAUGCCAAUGGCAGCUACAAAGGGACAGUUACAAAGGGGCAGUUUCUACCAUGUGCCAUGCACAUGCCUUAGGUGGUUCCGGGCAGUUGCUACCAUGUCUUCUACUUUGUAGCCAACAGCCCACGAUCUUUGAUCAUAUCUUCAACUUCCAGCACAUGUCCUUGACACCACUUAGUCACAUGCCAUGCAUGAUGGCCUCUAGCCUUGCCCACGUUUUCUUUGUCGCCAGCCCUCUUUGCCUUGUACCUUGCCUCGCUCUUAAUUCCAUUGCCACGCCCUGCUAUGAAUUAAGUCAUCCCAUCGAUCCGCGCAUGCCUUUUGCCCGCUUUCCCUUGGACCUUGCCUCGUCCUUAAUUUCAUAGCCACGCCCUGCUGUGAAUCAAGUCGGUCCACUGAUCCGUGCAUACCUUUGCCCGGCUUUGCCUUGGACCUUGCCUAGCCCUCAAUUUCAAAGCCACGCCUUGCUAUUAAUUAAGUCAUCCCACUGAUCCGCGCAUGCCUUUGUCAAGUGCCAUGCUUCCAUUUGCCAUAGCUGAUGCCCACGAACCAAGGCCGCCUUGCCAACACUCUAGCUACCUUGUCUAGCUGCCUUGCCUAAGCCCAUCACCAACUUAGACACACACCCAACCUUGUACAUUGCUUGUCAAUGCUCAAUGCUUCAGCGAAGCCAUGUCAAGGGGUAAUGCACAAGCCCUCAACAUGAAUUUGCCCGACAUCCAUUGAGUCAAUAUUUUGGGUCGUAACAAACCACCCCCACCAAUUGAACUCGACGCCUUGUCGAGGUUAAUCUCAAGUAGCCCUCGAUUUGAUCUUCGAACGGACCACCAUAUUUCGCAACAAAGGUUCUAUCCAACAAUACCAUGUUGCCCUCGAUCCAGUACCGUCGCAUAGUACCUUCCAACGCAUGAUUCAUUGUAUUUAUGAACAAUGGAUCAUUCAUAGCAUCUGACUUGAAUUUAUCAACAAAAUCUAACUCAAGUACCGAAGUGGAAUAAACAGCAACAAAGACUUCCUCCUCAUGAGCCGAAUACCCUUGUCCUGCUUCAUUCAACUUUCUUAUUUCAAAGGCCACAGGAUGACCUUCUUGAACCAGCACGCCUCCAACAGCCUUGUUGGAUGUAUCAGUAUGCACUUCAAACAGUAACUCAAACUCAGCAAGCUGCAAGAUUGGUUAUGAGGCAAUGGCUUCUUUCGACACACCAAACGCAACCCGGCAUUUUCCCGACCAAUUCCCUUUAACGUUCUUCUUCAACACAUCCGUCAAAGGAACAACUUUCUUUUAGUAACAGCAAUGAAUUUCUGAUAAUAAUUUGCAAACCCAAGGAAAGAUCUCAAUUCUUUCACAACUUUCGGCACCUGCCAUUCCGCAAUGACCUGCACCUUAUUCGGGUCCAUCCGCACCUGAUUGUGGCUCACCAAGUGCCUAUGAAAUUUGAUCUCCUGUCUAGAAAAUCCACACUUCUCAUACAACUUGCACUCCCUCACCCAAGUCAGCACUUUCAUCAAGUGUGACAUAUGUUCAUCCAAAUUCCGACCGUAGAUAACAAUGUCAUCAAAGUAGACAACGACAAAAUCAUCAAUGUACUCAUACAGCCUGUCAUUCAUGAGAUUGCAAAAUGUAGUAGGGGCAUCUAUCCAUCUGACCGACAUAACAAAGAAUUCAUAUGAGCCAUACCUCGUAACACAAGUAGUUUUAGACUCAUCACCUUCAGAUAUCCGUACCUGCCAAUAACCAGACCGUAUAUCAAGCUUCAUGAACCAGCAUGUAUUGCUCAAUCUGUCCAUCAACUCUUGCACCAACGGAACAGGAUAGUUAUUUUUCACCGUGACAUGCCAAUAACAAGACCGUAUAUCCAGCUUCAUGAACCAGCUUGCCUUGUUCAAUUUCUCCCACAAUUCAGCCAACUCUUGCACUAACGGAACGUGAUAGUUAUUUUUCACCGUCACCUUGUUCAACGCCCUAUGCGAUUGAGUAGGAAGCAUCGAACCCGGCAUCGGCUCUAUCUUGUGAUGAAUAAUCCUCCGUGGUGGCAGAUUUUUAGGCAACUCUGGUGGCAUCACAUCAACAAAAGCACUCAAAUAUUAAGCAACGCAGUUCGGCACUAUAACCUUAACGUCAGGCUUCACUUCAACCCCAGCAGCAAGGAAAGUCUCACCUCCCUUCUUCAACCCUUUUCCAACUAACAUGGCAGAAUUUAACAAGGACUUACUUUGAAUUUCUUCUCCUCCAUAAGGAUAAUCAACUUUCACGAAACCAGGAGCCAUAUCAUUCAUGAUCAUCACUCCGUUCAAAUGAGGCAUUGGAACAAAGUGAUGUUUUCGCAUGAAGUCAAUCUAAUGAGGCCUUACUUUGAAUUUCUUCUCCUCCAUGAGGAUAAACAGCUUUCACGAAACCAGGAGCCAUAUCAUUCAUGAUCAUCACUCCGUUCAAGUGAGGCAUUGGAACAAAGUGAUGUUUUCGCAUGAAGUCAAUUCCGAGGAUCACCUCAAACUCUUCCAUUGGAAUCACCAUCAAAUUGACCUUCCCUUUCCAGUUCCCAACAGAUAUAGGAACAUCAUAAGCCAUAGCCAUAAUGGCUUGUGCUUUGGUGUUCACAGUAUUUAUGUAAGAGGGACAUUUUGACACUCUCAAUCAAUACUUAUGCACCAAACUGGCAGAAAUAAGGGUGUGAGUAGCGGCAGUAUCUACAGUAGCUAUCACACUUCUGUCCCCAAUUCUCAUUUCAAUGUGCAUCAGCAAAGAAUAAGGGUUCGUACCGAGGAUCACCUCAAACCCUUCCAUUGGAAUCACCAUCAAACUGACAUUCCCUUUCACAUUCCCAACAGACAUAGGAACAUCAUAAGCCAUACCCACAAUGGCUUGUGCUUUGGUGUUCACAGUCUUUAUGUAAGAGGGACAUUUCGACACUCUCAAUCGAUACUUAUGCACCAAACUGGCAGAAAUAAGGGUUUGAGUAGCUCCAGUAUCUACAAUUGCUAUCACAGUUCUAUCCCCAAUCCUCAUCUCUAUGUGCAUCAGCAAAGAAUAAGGGUUCGUCUCGUAACUUGUAGCAUUUAGCAACGAGAUAAAAUUCAACAAUUGCAAAGGAUUUACCAAGGCAGCAACAACUUCUUCGCCUUCUCCAUCACGAUUACUUUCUGUAGCAAGCAAAGCAUUUACCCGCUCCCGAUUUGGACAGUCUCUGGCAAGAUGAGGUCCUCUGCACCUCCAGCAACCAUCGGUUUUCCGGUUUGCGACGCCUUUGUUUUGAAUGCAAGAAAAGCAUUUACCCGCUCCCGAUUUGGACAGUCUCUGGCAAGAUGAGGUCCUCCACACGUCCAACAAUCAUCAGUUUCCUGUUUUGCGACGCCUUUGUUUUGAACAGCCCCAUCGACAACCUUGCCCUUCUCAAUGACUUCUUCUCGAACUUCUUUCCUCCAUUCCCCUUUCUUCUCCACCAUUUUUUAGGUUUUGAAGUAAGAGGAAUAUCCAAAAGAGUACGGGUGCUGCGAUAGUCCACCAAUGAAUCUGCUGCAGCCAUUGCACUUGGGAGAUCCUUUACAGUCCGUCUACUAUGUUCAUUCUGUGCCCAUGCUUGCAUUCAAGAAAUAAAGUUAUGCAAUUUGUCGUCCUCUGACAUGUUUUGAACAUCCAACAUUAAGGAAGAGAAUUCCUUAAUAUAAUCCUUAAUAGAUCCCGUUUGUCACAAGCGUUUCAAAUGGUCUCUAGCAAGCCAAGAUGCAUUGCUAGGCAAGAAUUGGUCCUUCAUUUCUUAUCUGAGCUUCUCCCAUGUAUUAAUUUUUGGUCUGCCCGCACUUUCAUCAUCCACCAUACGAGUUCUCCACCAUAAUUUAGCAUCUCCCGUUAGGUACAUGCUUGUAAUUGUGACCUUCUCCGCAUUUGGAACUUUGGCAGCAACAAAAUAUUGUUCCAUGUCCCACAGAAAAUUCUCCAAUUCUUUUGCACUAUGCGUUCCACCAAACACCUUAGGAUCAAGAAUCUUUACCUUCGAGCGUUCUUCAUUGCCUUGGCUUGGAGCAGCCAACACCCAGCGAAGAACAUUGAUUUCGGCCUUCAAGUUGUCGACCUCCUUCUUCAGGUCUUCAACUACGCCAUCCGUUGAUUCACAACUUUGUUGGAUCCCAUCGCGAAACUGAUCUACCCCAUCCUUUUGACAGUAAAUCUAUGUUAUAAGAUCUGCCAUAUCCAAAGGAUUAUCGGUCACGCCGAUUAGCGCCUCCAACCGUUGCACUCUAUCACUUAAGUAUGAAAUAGACCCACCCGCCAUGAUUAAGAGUUACAACCAAAAAGCUCCGAUACCAAUUGUUACAGGGUUAAUUUUUCGUAAAAAUAGACACUGCACGGCAGCAGCUCACAACCACUUCAGGCUUCACUUUUCGCGCACACACACAGUCUGACUUAGGAUUUUCAGACUUUAGCCAAACUAAGAACACGCAUAGAAUUUACGGGUAAAACCCUACCUUUAUUAAUUCUCGCAGAAUAUACAAAGGACACUCAUUUUAGACUUGGCUCACAGAUGUAAUGCUACUUUCCUUCUCCAUAGGCGGAGAUACAAUCUACAUAAAGGGGCUGCCAAUGGCAGUUACAAAGGGACAGUUACAAAGGGGCAGUUUCUACCAUGUGCCAUGCACAUGCCUUAGGUGGUUCCGGGCAGUUGCUACCAUGUCUUACUCUUGUAGCCAAUAGCCCAUGAUCUUAGAUCAUAUAUUAACUUCCAGCACAUGUCCUUGACACCACUUAGUCCUAGGCAAUUGCUACCAUGUCUUCCACUUUGUAGCCAAUAGCCCAUGAUCUUAGAUCAUGUCUUCAACUUCCAGCACAUGUUCUUGACACCACUUAGUCACAUUCCAUGCACGAUGGCCUCUAGCCUUGCCCACGUUUUCUUUGUCUCCAUCCCCGCUUUGCAUUGGUUCUUGCCUCGCCCUUAAUUCCAUAGCCACGCCCUGCUAUGGAUUAAGUCAUCUCACCGAUCCGUGCAUGCCAUUGCCCCGCUUUGCUUUGGACCUUGCCUCGCCCUUAAUUUCAUAGCCACGUCGUUAAUUUCAUAGCCCGCGUCGACCUUUUAUCUAAUAAAUGCAUCCCUUCCAGAAGUCGGGGUUUGUUGCACGAAUUAGCUCUAGAAUUAAUAUGGCUAUCCGAGUAGUAGAUACCAUCAAAAUAACUAUAACUGAUUUAAUGAUCCAUUCGCAGUUUCACAGUCUGAAUUUGUUCAUACUUAUGCAUGCAUGGCUUAAUCUUUGAGAAAAGCAUAUGACUACUGGCAGGAUCAACCAGGUAGCAUUCCUCAUUGACGCCGGCGUCGCAUAAGCGUGGCCGACCCAAAAACACACGACCAAGUCCAAGGCGAGCACGACCGUCAUUCAUAUGGAGCAUUCUUUUGGCAGAUAGAAGCCAAUAAAGGCCCCGUGCCCAUUGCAUUUACCGAAUCCGAGAGCUCGAGCAUGCUAAGUCAUGGACCAAGCCAUCGCAAGGCGAAGCCAGGACGACCUGGGACACAACUGCAGCCUUUGGUUCACCCCGCACGCCAAACGCAAGGAGCGAAAGGUGACCGAUUGUGCUUGGUAAUGCCUUGGAAUUAGGCAUGCAACACAGAAAAUCGACGUUGAACAAGCCUAAUUUGCGCUUGUGACAUGACUGAGAUGGCAUGCGAGCUAGGACGUCGCUGCUCGAGUAGGGAUCCAACCUAGCCACACAAGCCGAACACCACUCAUGUGCCGCAAGUACACUUGCCUCGCCGAUACAAAGCCAACAUCAGCCCCAACACGUGACGUGCAGCCAUGUGUUUUUGCCGAUGCCAACAUUGCAAAUCCAAGACAAGCGCCGCAAAGCAUGAAUAGGGGGUUUGAACAAUGGCAGACACAACCCAUUCAACACCAGCCCCAACACGUGACGCGUAGCCAUGUGUUAUUGCCGAUGCCAACAUUGCAAAGCCAAGACAAGCCCCGCAAAGCACGAAUAGGUGGUUUGAACAAUGCCAGACACAACCCAUAAGAACCGAUGGUAAUCGGCAACUUACUAAGCUUCACCCCGUGCGCACGGCACCUUGCGGCGCUACUUGCAUUAUGCUUUGCCAUUUAGUUGCAAAAGCCAUCAGCCGCCACGAGCGAUGUCGCCUCCCGAUGUUGCCCGCAACAACCGAUGGCNNNNNNNNNNNNNNNNNNNNNNNNNNNNNNNNNNNNNNNNNNNNNNNNNNNNNNNNNNNNNNNNNNNNNNNNNNNNNNNNNNNNNNNNNNNNNNNNNNNNNNNNNNNNNNNNNNNNNNNNNNNNNNNNNNNNNNNNNNNNNNNNNNNNNNNNNNNNNNNNNNNNNNNNNNNNNNNNNNGCCCUGCCAUGUCCUGACACCCGAUGUUUCCCGCAACAACCGAUGGCAAUCAAUAACUUACUAAGCUUCGCCCUGUGCGCACGGCACCUUGCAGCGCUACUUGCACGAUGCUUUGCCAUUUUGUUGCCAAAAGCCUUCAGCCGCCAUGAGUGAUGUUGCCUCCCGAUGUUGCCCGCAACAAUCGAUGGCAAUCGACAACUUAAUAAGCUUUGCCCCGUGCGCACAGAACCUUGUGGCGCUACUUGCACGAUGAUUUGCCAUUUUUUUCCAAAAUGCCAUCAGCUGCAACGAGCGAUAUCGCCUCCCGAUAUUUCCCGCAACAAUCGAUUGCAAUGGAACAUCUAGUGAGCUUCGCCGCGUGCGCACGGCACCUUGCGGCGCUACUUGCACGAUGCUCCGCCGUUCGUUGUCAAAAGCCAUAAGCCGCCACGGAGGGGGGUUUAAUGACACAACCCACAAGAAUCGAUGGAAAUAUGCAACUUACUAAGCUUCGCCCCAUGCGCACGGCACCUUACGACGCUACUUGCACGAUGCUCCACCGUUCCAUUGCCGAAAGACAUCAACCGCCAUGAGCGAUGUUGCCCGCCACAACCGAUGGCAAUCGACAUCUACUGAGCUUUGCCCCAUGCGCACAGCACCUUGCGGUGCUAGUUGCACGACGCUCCGCCGUUCGUUGUCGAAAGCCAUCAGCUGCCACGAGAGAUUCCAGACACAACCCACAACAACCGAUGGCAAUCACCAACAACUUUCUAAGCUUCGCUCCAUGCGCACGGCACCUUGCAGCGCUACUUGCACGAUGCUUUGCCGUUCUGUUCUCAAAAGCCAUAUGCCGCCAGCAGCGAUGUCUCCUCCCGGUUUUGCCCGCAACAUCCAAUGGCGAUCGACAAGUACUAAGCUUCGCCCCAUGCGCACGGCACCUUGCGGCGAUACUUGCAUGACGCUCCACCGUUCAUUGCCAAAAGCCAAUGUUUGCCACUGCGGUGCCACCACCAGGCAUACUACGAGCCCACACGAGUACUUGCCGGCACGGUUUGGGGACAUCGAGGACGUAGCACAAACAAGUCGUGCAUGCUCCCAAUGCCCACGCCCCAUGCCACCGUCCCCCAUACAUGCCCACCCCUUCCUGGAAGCAAGCACCUGAGGUACCUCUCAACACCUCUACCCCCUUAUAUAUACUUAAAAAAAAAACCCAAGUUUCACGAGUAGAUAUGUUUUGGCCAUAGAAUCAUAAUAGACAUGUACAACACCAAAUAGCACAAAUGAAAGUAUAACUUGGCUAAGAUAUUCAAAAACGAAUUUUAAACAUUGUAAAUGAUAUUUUUUACGAAAAAUUAAUAUUUUUUUUUAAAUAUUUUUAUUCAAAAACGAAAAAUACUUAAUAAAAUACUAAAAAAUAUGAAAAUUAUUAUAAAAAUAGAAAAAAUGAUGGAGAAAAUUCCAAUACAACUUGUAAUAGUAUAACAUAUAAAAGAGUAAAUAUUGUUAUUAAAAAGUGACAUAACAAUAAUUAAAAUAACAAAAAGUGCAUAAAAAUUACUAAAAACUAUAUUAAAAAAAUGAAAAAUACAUAAUAUUAUUAUAAAAGUGUAUAGAUGACCAACCGCAAAUAACCACGAGGAACCUCCAUUGUCGCAACCACAACAAGUGAUUCCGAUUUGAAAAAACUGCCGCCAACAACAAAGAGUCGACCAACCGUCGCCGGUGGAUACCGCUCGAGCCACCACGACUUUCUACCACCGCCACCAACGACCACAAACAUCAUUGCGCUUGACGUGUUGCCCAGCCAUGUCAUGACGCGUCCUGACACGUACCAUGGCCAUAUCCUGCCAUGUCUUGUGACGUCGUGACUCGUGCCAUGGCCACGCCCUGCCAUGUCUUGCGACGUCCCUACUCGUGCCAUAGCCAAGCCCUGCCAUGUCCUAACGUGUCCUGACUUGUGCCAUGGCCAUGUCCUGAUGCGUUCUGACACAUGCCAUGCCCAUGCCCUGCCAUGUCCUGCGACGUCCCGACUCGUGCCAUGGCCACGCCCUGCCAUGUCNNNNNNNNNNNNNNNNNNNNNNNNNNNNNNNNNNNNNNNUUCACGUGCCAUGGCCAUGUCCUGAUGCGUCCUGCGACAUCCUGACUCUUGCCAUGGCCAUGCCCUGCCAUGUCCAGGGACGUCAUGAGUCAUUCCACGGCCACGCCCUGCCAUGUCCUGACGUGUCCUGACACACUGCCAUGUCGUGACGCGUCCUGACACGUGCCAUGGCCAUGUCCUGACUCGUCCUGCGACGCCUGCCAUGUCAUGCCACGUCCCGACAUGUCCCGACCCGUGUCCUGCCAUGUCCUGCGACGUACUGACACGUCAUGGCCCGUGCCACGGCCACGCCCUUCCAUUUCCUAGGACGUCCUAGUUCAUGCCAUGGCCACGCCGUGCGGGUGUUGCAUAGGCCUUGGCCUCUCAAGCGACACACCAAAAAACCUUAGCAUAGGCCUCGACCUCUCAAGCGACACCCUGAAAAGCCUCUAGUAGUGUAACGUGGUUUGGUAUUUUCCUCGACGUGACUAAGUGUCAAGUCACAUUGUCCACUUAAUGCACAAAUAGUAUACGUUCCAAGGUCUUGACGACUUGUUCGAUUNNNNNNNNNNNNNNNNNNNNNNNNNNNNNNNNNNNNNNNNNNNNNNNNNNNNNNNNNNNNNNNNNNNNNNNNNNNNNNNNNNNNNNNNNNNNNNNNNNNNNNNNNNNNNNNNNNNNNNNNNNNNNNNNNNNNNNNNNNNNNNNNNUUAGAAUAUGAUUGGAUUGGAGGGGGAGGGACUAAUCGGAGCGACAAAGGGCUGAAUCUCAGUGGAUCGUGGCAGCAAGCCCACUCUGCCACUUACAAUAUCCCCUCGCGUAUUUAUCUUGUCUGUAAAGGAUUCUACCCGCCGCUCGAUGGAAAUUGUAAUUCAAGGCGGCCACCGCGGCUCUUGCGCAGCGAUGACUUAGCCAACGACAUGUGCCCUUGGCGGCCAAAGGCCCCUACUGCGGGUCGGCAAGCGGACGGCGGGUGCAUGCAUCGCUUCUAGCCCGGAUUCUGACUUAGAGGCGUUCAGUCACAAUCCAGCCCACGGUAGAUUCGCGCCACUGGCUUUUCAACCAAGCGCGAUGACCAAUUGUGCGAAUCAACGGUUCCUCUCGUACUAGGUUGAAUUACUAUUGCGACACUGUCAUUAGUAGGGUAAAACUAACCUGUCUCACGACAGUCUAAACCUAGCUCACGUUCCCUAUUGGUGGGUGAAAAAUCCAGCACUGGUGAAUUUUGCUUCACAAUGAUAGGAAGUGCCGACUUCGAAAGAUCAAAAAGCAACGUCGCUAUGAACGCUUGGCUGCCACAAGCAAGACUUGGGUCCAAAAAGAGGAGCAGUUCCCCGCUUCUGAUUCACGGAAUAAGUAAAAUAACGUUAAAAGUAGUGGUAUUUCACUUUCGCCUUUCGACUCCCACUUAUACUACACCUCUCAAGACAUUUCACAAAGUCGGACUAGAGUCAAGCUCAACAGGGUCUUCUUUCCCCGCUGAUUCUGCCAAGCCUUUUCCCUUGGCUGUGGUUUCGCUGGAUAGUAGACAUGGACAGUGGGAAUCUCAUUAAUCCAUUCAUGUGCAUCACUAAUUAGAUGAUGAGGCAUUUGGCUACCUUAAGAGAUUUAUAGUUACUCCUGCCGUUUACCCGCGCUUGGUUGAAUUUCUUCACUUUGACAUUCAGAGCACUGGGCAAUAUCACAUUGCAUAAACAUCCGCAAGGACCAUCGCAAUGCUUUGUUUUAAUUAAAUAGUCAGAUUCCCCUUGUCCGUACCAGUUCUGAGUUGGCUUUUCGAUGUCCGAGGAAGGCCCCCGAAGGAACUGUUCCCAGUCCAUCCCCCGGCCGGCACGUGGCGACCCGCUCUCGCUGCGAGAGCAGCUCGAGCAGUCCACCGACAGUCGACGGGUUCGGGAAUGGGACCCCCGUUCCAGCCCUCAAAGCCAAUCCUUUUCCCGAAGUUACGGAUCCAUUUUUCUGACUUCCCUUGCCUACAUUGUUCCAUCGAUCAGAGGCUGUUCACCUUGGAGACCUGAUGCGGUUAUGAGUACGACCAGGCAUGGACGGCACUUGGUCCUCCAAAUUUUCAAGGGCCGCCGGUGGGCGCACCGGACACCAUGCGACGUGCGGUGCUCUUCCAGCCGCUGGACCCUACCUCCGACUGAGUCGUUUCCAGGGUGGGAAGGCUGUUAAAUAGAAAAGAUAACUCUUCCCGAGGCCCCCACCGACGUCUCUAGACUUCCUAACGUUGCUGUCAACCGCCACGUCUCGAUUCAGGAAUUUUAACCCAAUUCCCUUUCGGAGUACGCGCGAAACGCGCUAUCUAUCGGGGUUCCCCUGACCCUUAGGAUCGACUAACCCAUGUGCAAGUGUCGGUCACAUGGAACCUUUCCCUCUUCGGCCUUCAAAGUUCUCAUUUGAAUAUUUGCUACUACCACCAAGAUCUGCACCGACGGUCGUUCCGUCCAGGCUCACGCCCAAGGUUUUGCAGCGACCGCUGCGCCCUCCUACUCAUCGGGGCCUGGCACUUGCCCCGACGGCCGGUUGUAGGUCGCGCGCUUAAGCGCCAUCCAUUUUUUGCACCGAUGACCGCUCCGCCCAGGCUCACGCCUAAGGUUUUGUAGCAACCGCCACGCCCUCCUACUCAUCGGGGCCUGGCACUUGCGCCGACGGCCGGGUGUAGGUCACACUCUUAAGCGCCAUCCAUUUUCGGGGCUAGUUGAUUCGGCAGGUAAGUUUUUACACACUCCUUAGCGGAUUUUGACUUCCAUGACCACCGUUCUGCUGUCUUAAUGGACAAACACCCUUUGUGGGAUCUAAGUUAGCGCGCAGUUUGGAACCGUAACCCAGUUUCCGGUUCAUCCCGCAUCGCCAGUUCUGCUUACCAAAAAUGGCCCACUUGGAGCUCUUGAUUCCGUGGCGCGGCUCAACAAAGCAGCCGUGACAUCCUACCUAUUUAAAGUUUGAGAAUAGGUCGAGGGCGUUGCGCCCCGGAUGCUUCUAAUCAUUGGCUUUAUCCGAUAGAACUCGCACUCGAGCUCCAGCUAUCCUGAGGGAAACUUUGGUGGAACCAGCUACUAGAUGGUUUGAUUAGUCUUGCACGUCAGUAUCGUUGCGGGCCUCCACCAGAGUUUCCUCUGGCUUCGCCUCGCUCAGGCAUAGUUCACCAUCUAUCGGGUCCCGACAGGUAUUCUCACACUCGAACCCUUCACAGAAGAUCAAGGUCGGUCGGUGGUGCACCCCUCAAAGGGAUCCCACAAAUCACCUUCCUUACGCCUUACGGGUUUACUCGCCCGUUGACUCGCACACAUGUCAGAAUCCUUGGUCCGUGUUUCAAGACGGGUCGAAAGAGGAGCCCACAGGCCAGCGUCUGGAGCGCGCAGAUGCAGAAGCAUGCCAUAGGCGCACGCUGCCUACCACAAUCAAGUAGACGACGUUCCACGAGCGUAUCAAAAGCCCGGGCUUUGGCCGCCCCCCAAUCCAUGCAUGUCCACGCCCCGAGUCGAUCGGCGGACCGGCUCAACACCGUUCCACAUCCGACCGGGGCGCAUNNNNNNNNNNNNNNNNNNNAAAAACUUUGAUUUCUCAUAAGGUGCCGGCGGAGUCCUAAAAGCAACUUCCGCCGAUCCCUGGUCGGCAUCGUUUAUCGUUGAGACUAGGACGGUAUCUUCUUUGACUCUCUUUCCAAAGUCCUUUUCAUCUUUCCCUCGCGGUACUUGUUCGCUAUCGAUCUGUCGCCCGUAUUUAGCCUUGGACGGAAUUCACCGCCUGAUUUGGGCUGCAUUCCCAAUCAGCCCGACUCGUAGACAGCGCCUCAUGGUGCGACAGAGACCGGGCACAACGGGGCUGUCACCCUCUCUUGCGCCCCCUUCCAGGGAACUUGGGCCCUAUCCGCCGCUGAAGACGCUUCUCUGGACUAACAAUUCAGACGACGGAGCCGCCUGAUUUGGCUGGGU
rnacentral:lncRNA from 1 species